AUUUAUCUGAUAGCUAUUUUAUCUCUAAACAUAUUUUCCCAGCUAAAACUACAAGAGUUUUAAUGCUUGUUUUCCACUGAAUAUGGUUCAACAAGUUUGGCUCUUCUGUUACAUUA